UCUUCCCGUUCCCCUCCACCUGCCCACUCUCCUCCCUUCCCCGCCCUUCCCACGAAAACCCUAGCCGCCACUACUGCCCUGGAGCCGCCGUCGCUGCUCUGCCCUCCCUCUCUCCGACUCAAGCCGCCGCCCUCCUCUACGCCUCCAACCUCCUCCCCAUUGGAUUGCGACCGGCCCUCCCUUGUGCUUGAGUCAUAGAGGGGCAGCAGACUCUGGUGGACAAGGAGAUGCACGGCGAGCCGUCGAUGAUGGGUGCGCCGAGAUGAGCUCUCCGGUGAAAAGAUGCAUCCACGCACAUCCAGCUCUCCACCACCACGCGCCAGAGGGAGAGGGAGAGGAAGGUGGAGAGCAGUGAGGGUCCUCACUUAGUUCGGUCGCUUGCCCACUCGAUCUGGAUGUCACGGUUGCCGUGGUUUGCUCGUCGCCGUCGGCCAGCUGGACCUUGGAAGCCGCCGCUCCUCAGCAAUCAACAAGAGUUACAGCCGCUGCCACCACUUCUUGGCAGCGAAGCAGGCCAGCGAUGAGGAGGCUCACCACCAACACGUCAUCGACGGCCAAUCACCACUUCUUGGCAGCGAAGCAGGCUAGCCAGAAGAUAUGUACUGCCUUUUUGACUUGCUAAGGCUGAUACAUGUUGACCCAGUAUAAUAGAUGUAUUAAGAUGCUAGCCAAAGAAAGUUUACAUCACUUCUAAUUUAUUGUAUAUAUGGCUCACUGAUGCUCUUAUGGCACUGAACAACAUAUUCUCAUUUAGCGCACUGUAAAUUUCUUAGGUGCUAGCAAUUGAAUCGUAGGUUAGCAUUUUAGAUGAUGUAUGCUGUUGGGUCCAAAAACAAGAAGAGUAGUCUUCUUCCAAUGUUAAAUCAUCUUCCAAAAUUCUUCUUCGGAAAGGAUCAAUCCUUCAGUUUUUUGUAUGUUGUUCUUGGAUUUGGUAAAGAUGUUAUGUUUCCAUUUUGAUCUAUUUACUAUUACACAAACCCUGAUUAAAAAGUAAUUUUUAUUUUAGAUAACUAAUGGUUAGUACAUAUCCUUCCAUUCCAUGAAUUAGUUUCAUUUUGUCUGGGUUAUGCUCUCUAUGUGUGUAAGCUUAGAAAAACCAAGACUUAAUCCUACUGCAGUUUAUGUGUGCUAUCACCUCACCAUAUGCAUUCAGAUGGGUCAGGUUGCAUUUGCAAGGGUAUUUGAGCAAGGGUGGGACUCUGCACAUUUUCUCAAUUUGUUUUCGGCUUUCAGAUUACAGAUGUGUGCACCGGCUGUUUAUAAACGCCUAACGAUUAUGACUUCAGGGCAUGGCAGCAAGGGAGAAAGGGGAGAAACACAAAUAGCUAAUUCAGAAGGAAGAGAUGAUGUUGUGAACUACAUUCUCUAUAUGUCCCUUGCGGCCUUGAUGGACCUAAUCAGGGCAAAAUACAGCACAUUCCUCUGCUUUUUUCGAUAUGGUCAGCUAGGGUCUGUACAUCUACGUUUUUACUAUCGUAUAUACUACCUGUGGUAUUGCCGCUCACCUGACAAAGUGACAAUGAUUGACAUCGUGUGGUUGUUCUGUGCUUCAUGGUGUUACUAAAAUCUUUAGGAUGCCCUCACUGAUCAGCAUGGUUAGCUUCAGAUACAUGUUAUAAAAGUCUAAAUACCUUGAUAACUUUGCUCUUUUAUGCUAUUUUUGUUAAGUGGUGAUGGUAAAGAACUGGAAUUAUCUGAACAUAUUGAUCCUUUUUCUGAUACUUUCAUACCUUAAAUUAUACUCCCUCCGUCCGAAAAUACUUGUCAUCAAAAUGGAUAUAAGGGGAUGUAUCUAGACGUAUUUUAGUUCUAAAUACAUCUCCUUUUAUCCAUUGUGAUGACAAGUAUUUUCGGACGGAGGGAGUAUAAUCCAUUUUGGUGGGAGAUCCACUUUAUAAAUUCCUAUUGUAUAUGAUUCAUGCUAGAGAGACGGCAGAGUCACCGUAUGGAGGAAAGUUAGUAUGGCAUCAGAUUUUAUGUGGUCUGAUGCUCAGACACUACUGGAAUUUCUUCAUUCUAUUAAUGAAAUUUCAUUUGAUGAUACAUCAUAUGUACCUGUCAAGAGUCAUUAGAUUACUACAGAUGAGGUACUGCAGUAAUGCCUUUGCUCUGUAUGCCUACUGCGUAACUUGUAUUCUAUCUUAUGAUGCUGACUGAUUGAUUUGUACGAGAUACGAAAUCUUUGUCAAGAUUUAUGUGUUGGAUGAAAGUAGCUUCAACCAUAUAUUGAAGUGGUACACACACAUAAGGAAAGCACCGUUGUCUUCUUCACAUGUUACACCAAAGGCUGGUGGUACAAUGACGGAGACCAAGGUCAAAGAUGAGUGGUACUAGGACCAACUUCUACAGGAAAUGGAAGAAUUGAGGACCUUCAUUCAUUCAUAGAAAAAUCAGAAGAGAGAAGAAGCAUCAAAAUAUCAUGCAAAGGGACCUGAAGUUUCAUUUAUUAAGAGAAGUUGAUCCUUGUGCGGAUUGCUGAAUCAAUCAAGAUGGAAGCUGGUGGAAUUAGAGUCCCAUUAGUACCAUUGUCUGUGACCGCAAUACAGGCAUUCACUCUAGGAUCUGAGAUUUCUUUUGCUCAUCCCCUAUGGUAGAUGAUAGUUCAAGCAGUGAAUUCAUACACUUCUAUACAUAUUUUCUUCUUUUGUUGUGUUUUAGCAUAAUCAUAGUCUGAUUUGAGUUUUUGCAAGCCUGCUGAAGUCCUAUUGAUUGUGCUCCUGCAACUUAGCAUGAUCGACGUCUCCCGAAAAUUAAGAGAAUAACUAAUUGUAUAUGCUAUUUAUGAGUGAAUUAUGUGUCCUUGGCUAUUGAGGCCUAAUGAAAACUUUGUAUUGGGUAAA